rnacentral:rRNA from 1 species
AAUGAACGUUGGCGGCGUGGAUUAGGCAUGCAAGUCGAGCGAGAACCGUAGCAAUACGGGGACAGCGGCGAAAGGGAGAGGAAUACGCGGGUACCUACCCUCGGAUCUGGGAUAGCUACGGGAAACUGUAGGUAAUACCAGAUGAUGUCUUCGGACCAAAGGUGUGAUUCCGUCCGAGGAGGGGCCCACGUCCUAUUAGCUAGUUGGUGGGGUAAUGGCCUACCAAGGCAAUGAUGGGUACGGGGCGUGAGAGCGUGCCCCCGCUCACUGGGACUGAGACACUGCCCAGACACCUACGGGUGGCAG